ensembl:misc_RNA Y_RNA Y RNA
UGCUACCAAUAAAGCCACCUGGUGUUUACAACUAAUUGAUCACAACCAGUUACAGAUUUCUUUGUUCUUUCUCCAUUCCCACUGCUUCACUUGACUAGCCCCAA